rnacentral:misc_RNA from 1 species
UAAUAUAUUUAACUACUUAUGAUAUAAAAAUGUAUUCGUUUUCUUUUUGUGUAUACAUAUUAUAAUAUAGUUCAGUUAAAUUCCACGAUUUGAUUGUACAGAACAAAAUAUUGUUAUGAGUUAUCAACGUUUUAAGGACAACACAUUUUGUCGUAUGGAAAAACAAUACGUAAAGAAAACUGAUAUACCCCGUUAUAUUAAUGUUGCUGUUGUGGGACUUUCUGGUGCAGAGAAAGAAAAAGGAGCAGUGGGAGUCGGUAAAUCAUGUCUAUGUAACAGAUUCAUGAGAUCAUCAUCUAAUGACUUCGAAGAAGAUCAUAAUUCUUUACUAAGCAAUUCUGAUUUUAGUGGACGUGUUGUUAAUAAUGAUAAUUUUUUAUACUGGGGAGAAGUUAUAAAAACAUCUACAGAAGGUACUGAAUACACAUUUCGUGUAAUUGAACAAACUGAAUUUAUAGAUGAUUCAACAUUUCAACCGUUUAAUGGAGUGAAAAUGGACCCAUAUAUUAAACGCUGCGUGGCCACUAAAAUUGAAUCAGCUGAAAAAUUGAUGUAUAUUUGUAGAAGCCAAUUAGGUAUUGAAGAAAAAUUUGAACAAAAAGUGUUACCCUCCGGUAAAUUCAAUGUUGAUGGUUUUUUAUGCGUGUUUGAUGUCAGCGUAGUACCCGGUCGUAGUAUAGAAAAACAAUUAGAAACUGUGACAAAUAUAUUAAAAAAUAUAAAGGAUACAACAAAACCUGUGGUAUUAGUAACUACCAAAAAUGAUGAAUUAAAUGAGUCAUAUGUUCAAGAAGUUCAAAAACUUGUAUCUCGAAAGGAAUUUAAGAAAGCUAUACCAAUUGUUGAAACAUCUGCUUGUUUGAAUGUUAAUGUUGAUGCCGCUUUUAUUGCUCUAGCUCAUAUUAUUGAUAGAUUUAAAGGCCGUACAAAAAUAGUUCCUUAUUUGGAAUCUGUUAAAGACUACAAACUAUUGAUGCAAACCAGACGUUGGUACAAUUAUAAGUAAAUACAGAAAUGUUUAUCAUUUUAUAUUUACGCAGUAUCUACGUACAAAAUACUUAUCUCAUAAGAAGAACUGAUAAUUUUGAAAAUGUUGAAGACGAUAGAGGACGUCACAGUUUAUACGAUAUGUAUGAUGAUACCUCCCUGACACCAGCUAACGUUUCAUUUACUCUU